AUUGAACGCUGGCGGUAGGCCUAACACAUGCAAGUCGAACGGCAGCACAGUAAUAGCUUGCUGAUACGGGUGCCGAGUGGCGGGCGAGUGAGGAAUACAUCGGAAUCUACUUUUUCGCGGGGGAUAACAGAGGGCCUCUUACGCUAUUACUCCAUACGACGUACGGGGGGAAUCAGGGGAUCUCCGGGCCUCUCGCGAUUGUAUGACGCGUGAUCGGAUUAGCUAGGUGACGGGCUAACGGCCCACCAAGGCGUCGCUUCGUAGCUGGUCUGAUAGGACGAUCUGCCACACUGGAACUGAGACACGGUACAGAUUCCUACGGGAGGCAGCAGUGGGGAAUAUUGGACAACGGGCGCAAGCCUGAUCCAGCCAGACCGCGUGGGUGAAGAAGGGCCUCGGAUUGUAGAGCGCUUUUGUUGGGAAAGAACUGCAGCAGGUUAAUACCUUGCUGUUUUGACGGUACCUACAGAAUAAGCACCGGCUAACUUCGUG
rnacentral:rRNA from 1 species